rnacentral:rRNA from 1 species
GCAAGCGUUAAUUGGAAUUACUGGGGGUAAAGCGCACGCAGGCGGUUUGUCAAGUCGGAGGUGAAAUCCCCGGGCUCAACCUGGGAACUGCCUUUGAAACUGGCAGGUUUGAGUUUUGUAGAGGGGGGUAGAAUUCCAGGUGUAGCGGUGAAAUUUGUAGAGAUUUGGAGGAAUACCCGUGGCGAAGGCGGCCCCCUGGACAAAGAAUGACGGUCAGGUGCGAAAGCGUGGGGAGCAAACAGGAUUAGAU